rnacentral:rRNA from 1 species
UUUUUGAUAAUAAUUUAAAGUAGGGCCUGCCCACUGAUUUUAUUGAAGGGCCGCAGUAUUUUAACUGUGCAAAGGUAGCAUAAUCAUUAGUUUUUUAAUUGAAAGCUUGUAUGAAUGGUUUGAUGAGAAAAUCGCUGUCUCUGAAUUAAUUUUUUAGAACUUUAUUUUUAAGUUAAAAAGCUUAAAUAAAUUUAAAAGACGAGAAGACCCUAUAGAGUUUAAUUUAAAUAAGUAGUUAGGAAAUUUAGUAUUAAUUUUUUUUUUUAUUUGUUUGAAUUUAGUUGGGGUGAUUGAAAAAUUAAAUAAACUUUUUUUAUAUAGAUACAUUAAUAAAUGAAUUCUUGAUCCAUAAAAAUGAUUACAAGAUUAAAUUACCUUAGGGAUAACAGCGUAAUUCUCUUUAAGAGUUCUUAUCGAAAAGAGAGAUUGCGACCUCGAUGUUGGAUUAAAGUUUAUUUUUGGNGUANAAGCUAAAAAAUUAGGUCUGUUCGACCUUUAAAAUUUUACA